UCCGGGAAACCGGAGCUAAUACCGGAUAGUUCCUUGAACCGCAUGGUUCAAGGAUGAAAGACGGUUUCGGCUGUCACUUACAGAUGGACCCGCGGCGCAUUAGCUAGUUGGUGAGGUAACGGCUCACCAAGGCGACGAUGCGUAGCCGACCUGAGAGGGUGAUCGGCCACACUGGGACUGAGACACGGCCCAGACUCCUACGGGAGGCAGCAGUAGGGAAUCUUCCGCAAUGGACGAAAGUCUGACGGAGCAACGCCGCGUGAGUGAUGAAGGUUUUCGGAUCGUAAAGCUCUGUUGUUAGGGAAGAACAAGUGCAAGAGUAACUGCUUGCACCUUGACGGUACCUAACCAGAAAGCCACGGCUAACUACGUGCCAGCAGCCGCGGUAAUACGUAGGUGGCAAGCGUUGUCCGGAAUUAUUGGGCGUAAAGGGCUCGCAGGCGGUUUCUUAAGUCUGAUGUGAAAGCCCCCGGCUCAACCGGGGAGGGUCAUUGGAAACUGGGAAACUUGAGUGCAGAAGAGGAGAGUGGAAUUCCACGUGUAGCGGUGAAAUGCGUAGAGAUGUGGAGGAACACCAGUGGCGAAGGCGACUCUCUGGUCUGUAACUGACGCUGAGGAGCGAAAGCGUGGGGAGCGAACAGGAUUAGAUACCCUGGUAGUCCACGCCGUAAACGAUGAGUGCUAAGUGUUAGGGGGUUUCCGCCCCUUAGUGCUGCAGCUAACGCAUUAAGCACUCCGCCUGGGGAGUACGGUCGCAAGACUGAAACUCAAAGGAAUUGACGGGGGCCCGCACAAGCGGUGGAGCAUGUGGUUUAAUUCGAAGCAACGCGAAGAACCUUACCAGGUCUUGACAUCCUCUGACAACCCUAGAGAUAGGGCUUUCCCUUCGGGGACAGAGUGACAGGUGGUGCAUGGUUGUCGUCAGCUCGUGUCCUGAGAUGUUGGGUUAAGUCCCGCAACGAGCGCA
rnacentral:rRNA from 1 species